UGAACUGCUUCUUCUCUAGUGCAUUGCUUCCCUUCAGAUGCGCUCUCUCGCAAUUUUCUGUCCAUAUUAGUUACAUUUUGUAUUUUCAGGCUAGGAAUACGAUUUAUUGGUAUUGCAUUGUAUCUUGGGAAUUUCUGAAGUGAAGUAUUCAUUUGGGUGAAUCAACUUCAGAAUGUCACUGCUCGUCUAAAGAUGUGCACGUUUCUAAGAUUACUGGACAUGGUGUAACUUCAAACCCGCUAUCAGCAUGUGAUGUGUCGAGUGAGCCUACUUUAUUCGGUGGAUGUGAGAAUAUGAUCAGGUGACAACAAUACAAAUCGCCAAGAAAAUACUUAGCACAUCUGCAUAUUUACUUAUUAGGGGCAACUGUAGAAUGUAUAAUGUUUAAAUUAUCAAAUAUGUGUUUUUAUAACUUUAGUGUGAU